rnacentral:lncRNA from 1 species
GCUCAACCUUUCGGACACCUGGUCCUACGAAUCUACCUUUAAGAUUUGAAAACCACAUGCUUUGCAAUUAGUACUCAAUGGAUUGCUGACUUUCUUCUUGGAUUUCCCUUAGUCUAUGGGCGCCUCACAGCCUUCUUGUGCUUAGGAACACUAGACAGCGCUUCAGCAUAUGCUUGGGAGUCAUUUGAAACAAUGAAAUCACCAACAAAAAGCACAAAAAUGUGAAAAACGUGACACUGAAUAGACCAUGAAAAGGGUGCUUGUUUACAGUAAGAGAAACAA